ensembl:snRNA U6 U6 spliceosomal RNA
UUAUUAAAAGAUAAAUAAAUAAAAUAAAAUUGCAAUGAUACAGAGAAGAUUAGCAUGGCCCCUACACAAGGAUGAUGCACAAAUUCAUGAAUUGUUCCAUAUCUUU